rnacentral:rRNA from 1 species
AGUGAACGCUGGCGGCGUGCUUAACACAUGCAAGUCGAACGAGAACGGGUUAUAGCUUGCUAUAAUUGUCAGCUAAGUGGCGCACGGGUGAGUAAUGUAUAGGUAAUAUGCCUCUUACUAAGGGAUAACAAAUGGAAACGUUUGCUAAUACCUUAUACUCCUUAUUAACUAAAGUUGGUAAGGGAAAGAUUUAUUGGUAAGAGAUUGGCCUGUAUUGUAUCAGUUAGUUGGUGGGGUAAAGGCCUACCAAGGCGACGAUCCAUAGCUGGUCUGAGAGGAUGAUCAGCCACACUGGGACUGAGACACGGCCCAGACUCCUACGGGAGGCAGCAGUGGGGAAUAUUGCACAAUGGACGAAAGUCUGAUGCAGCAACGCCGCGUGGAGGAUGACACAUUUCGGUGCGUAAACUCCUUUUAUAUAGGAAGAUAAUGACGGUACUAUAUGAAUAAGCAACCGGCUAAACUCCGUGCCAGCAGCC